GUGCUCGCUUGGGCAGCACAUAUACUAAAAUUGGAAUGAUACAGAAAAGAUUAGCAAGGCCCCCUGAUUAGCAAGGAUGACAGGCAAAUCCAUGAAGCAUUCCAUGAACAC
ensembl:snRNA U6 U6 spliceosomal RNA